UGCAUACAUCCAGGCUACAAAACAACAAGAACAAGAGGAAACCAUAUGCAAGGCCAAGGCGCAGACUCCUUGGGAUAAAUCCUUUGGAAACUUGACAGGCCUUCUAUCUGCUCUGUGAUCUAGGAAGACCUUUCUCCAGGACCUGAAAUUUGAACUUUGGCCAAAUAAGAAGAUGAAGUACCCACUGUGACCAGAGACCACAAAAAUUUCCCCCACAGGGCAGUGGGCCUAAUCUGAAAUCCUCUCUCCUGCCCAAGAGGAGAGUCAGCACCAAGAUUCAGUUGGAAGGUGCCUUUCCCAGAUGGCAUGAGUGACAAGGGUCCAGCCUUGUGGAACCCCCAGGUGCUUGGGAAGGAGAACAAGGCCAUAGGAAAGGCAGCCUACAUCUGGGCUCCACCAUCCUGGGUACACAGAAUUAUGUGGCUGUGAUCUUCCUGAGAAGCAAGUUCUCCUCCCUGCGUAGCUCAUCCUCCACAGGUACUGGUUCUGAAUAUCUUUGGGCUCA